rnacentral:rRNA from 1 species
GACGAACGCUGGCGGCUCUUAAUACAUGCAAUCGAGCGAAUUUUUCUGGUGCUUGCACUAGAAAAACUUAGCGCGAACGGGUGAGUAACACGUAAGACCUGCUCAUGACUGGGACAACUAUUGGAAACGAUAGCUAAUACCGGAUAACAGCAUUAACUGCAUGUUGAUGUUAAAAGUGGUUUGCUAACACUAUGAGAUGGCUUUGCGGUGCAUUAGCUAGUUGGUGGGUAAAGGCCUACCAAGGCGACGAUGCAUAGCCGACCUGAGAGGGUGAUCGGCCACACUGGGACUGAGACACGGCCCAGACUCCUACGGGAGGCAGCAGUAGGGAAUCUUCCGCAAUGGGCGAAAGCCUGACGGAGCAACGCCGCGUGAGUGAAGAAGGAUUUCGGUUCGUAAAGCUCUGUUGUUAGGGAAGAAUGAUUGUGUGUAACUAUAACACAGUAGAGACGGUACCUAACCAGAAAGCCACG